AUUUCAUAUUACUAUUUAAAAACUAAAUUUCUACCAAGAUUUAAAAUACAGUUUAUUCGCACCAGUUUAAAACGUAAUGCAUAAAAAACUUAGAGAGUAAGAUUUCUACAACUAGAUUUCUCUAGAGAAAUUUCAUAUUACUAUUUAAAUUUUAAAUUCAAUAAUUUAAAAACUAGAUUGAACCGAUUAAUUUGAAUGAUCAGACUUUGACCUAUUCUAUCAAGAAUCUGAUUUUAACCUAUUGAACCGAAUAACAUUAAGAAUAAUUUGGAACCGGUAAAGAUAAUAAAUAUUUUAAACGGAAUGAUAAUUUAACUGUUAGAGCUAAUAAAUAUUUUAAAUAUAAUUUUAAAUAUAUAAAUUAAAAAGAUUAGAAUUAUUGGUGAGAAAAAAAAUAGUUAGGAAUUUGAAUUCGAAUCUGACUAACAAUCACAAAACUUAUUUUCGAACUCGACGGAUUUCAAAAAUCCAUAUCCAAAUUCAAAACUGACCAAUUUUCCGAAACCCAAAACCAAACCUAAACCAGAAGACUAGAAUUCAAACAAUUAUUUCUGUUAACCAUAUUUCAAAGUAUUUAUAUGAAACUUAAAUUUUUAAAAUAUAAAUUUGAAUAUAAUAUUAAAUUUUAAAUUUAAAAGUGAAAUUUAAAUUAGAGGAAUUUCAUAUAACUAUUUAAAGUUUAAAUCCAAUGAUCAUAUUGUCAAAUCAUUUGAAAUUUUCUUUAUAUGAAAUGCCAAAUUAUGAAAGGAAAGAUAGAGAGAGAAAAAGGAAAUAAAGAAAAAAUAAAAAAUUUGAAAAUAUAGCAGAUGUAAAAUGACUAAAUUGCCAAUGUAUUAAAAGACAAAAAUAUCCUUUUUUGAAGUACCUGGUAACCGGUACCUCUUCCAAAGUGACCUGCUAUUGCAGGUCACAAUUUUUAAAAAAUUAAAUCUGAGCCGUUGAAUACGUGUGAAUGAACGGUAACAAAAAAAAAAAAGUAUAGAAGCAUUACUCUUAUAAAGAAUGUUU
rnacentral:lncRNA from 1 species